AUUGAACGCUGGCGGAAUGCUUUACACAUGCAAGUCGAGCGGCAGCGCGGGGGCAACCCUGGCGGCGAGCGGCGAACGGGUGAGUAAUAUAUCGGAACGUACCCCGUCGUGGGGGAUAACACAGCGAAAGCUGUGCUAAUACCGCAUACGACCUGAGGGUGAAAGCGGGGGAUCGCAAGACCUCGCGCGAUGGGAGCGGCCGAUAUCGGAUUUUUAGCUUGUUGGUGAGGUAAAGGCUCACCAAGGCGACGAUCCGUAGCUGGUCUGAGAGGACGACCAGCCACACUGGAACUGAGACACGGUCCAGACUCCUACGGGAGGCAGCAGUGGGGAAUUUUGGACAAUGGGGGCAACCCUGAUCCAGCCAUUCCGCGUGAGUGAAGAAGGCCUU
rnacentral:rRNA from 1 species